rnacentral:piRNA from 1 species
AUCGGUCGGUGCGGGACUCGGAG